AUCACGUCAAAAUGGAUUGAAUGCGGAAAGUGGAAGUGAAGGGCAAAAGAUUAAAAAAGGAUCAAUAGCUUGAUAUGAACAUUACCGUGAAUGCAGCUGGAGGUUUAUUUGUCGAUGGAAGAUUAAAAUGCUGACGUCAUGCUGGACUUUGGGAACAGGUUAGAUAUUAUGGAUAAAGACUAAAGUUUUCAGGAGAGCUAGGGCCGAGUUGAAUUCCUGACAAGGCUAAAAGUGUCUAACAACUAUGAAGUGUCUGUACUGAAGGUCAUUGAAGGUCAUUCCAUCGGUGUGGAACAGAUGCACUUCCCACCCGCCUGCUACCGUUCCUGAGCAAGCACCUAAGCUACAUCAACUUUGGGCGGCAGUCCAGACGCUUGCUGAACUUUCUAGGGCGCCCUGGAGCCUUCUUCACAUCAACUGAACCGCUCUCCUUGAAGUUCUUCAUGAUCUGAUAAAUGCUUGGUUUAAGUGCACUCUCACCAGCAGCAUGAUGACUGUACUGUAUCCUUGCAGGUAACUAUGGUUACAGCUAGUCGUAGGACUCAUACAUACAACAUACAACGUACCCGGUCAUUAGCAUUGAUGCAAAUGUGCAAUAUUUUCCAUCACUGCCUCUGUUACUACCUCAAUCAUAUUUAUUUAUUUAACAACCCAAUACAAUACACUCACAUGUGACUUUACUCACCAGUAUACACCAGUCAUUAUUUGCACUAUGACCCAUUUAUCAUUGCACUAAAAUUAAUAUAUGUGCAAUAUGUCUGCUCCUGCAUAUGCUCUUGUGCAAUACUAUGUGUAUAUUCUGGAUACCUUGUAUAUAUAUUGUAUAUAUCUUGUUAAAUUGUCUUUUUUACUGUACUUUUAUAUACUU